ACUUCUAUUUUGUUCUUGUUCAUUUCUAUUUUUAUUUUUAAAACUUUUGCUUCAUAUAUUUUGAUAACAUGACCAUAUAAUUUGACAUUCAAACUAAGAAACUCAUGAGAGUGAAAGGGGGUGCUAUUAAUUAAGACAGGACAACAGGCUUACUUUUAAGACUACCCUAUGAAAACAUAUUCUUAUUGUUAACCUAUAUGCCUGUUUCCAUUUUUCUGUUUGCCUAAUGAAGGGAAAAAUUGCUAUCCUUGCUAGUUGCUUUAGCCUGUACAUUUUUUUUUUUUGUUUGCUAUUGCCUUAUCUGAAAAGAAAAAAUAUUAUUGAUCUCUGUUUACCAAAGUGUUCUGAUUCUUGUUAAUAGUCCUGCUUAAGGGCGAGGGUGGAUAAAGGAGCCUGGAUUAUGCAGAUAGCUAUGCCCUGUCUUCCCUCAGCUGCAUGUUCUCCGUUUGCCCCUGGAGACACACUCUCCUCUAUUCUCCUCUCCACUCUCUUCUCAGUCCCGAGACAUUGACCUGGGAUACAUCAAAACUCCUUCCCUUUUGGCUUCCAGUGGGAUUUUACCAAUGGAAACCCAGCAGGAGACUGAAGAAAGAAAGGAGUGAGGGCUGGCUUGCUAUUAACUAGUGCCGCAGGACUGCAUGGAGG
rnacentral:lncRNA from 1 species